rnacentral:tRNA from 1 species
GGGGUUAUGGCUCAGUGGUAGAGCGCUUGCCUUACACGUGCAAGACCCUGGGUUUGAUCUCA